UGGCAAAUGGGAGUGUUUGAUACCUAGGAGGUGGAAGACAUUUUGGGACAUUUUGAUCUUAUCGGUCAUAUCUGCUGUAGCCAUCGAUCAUUCCUGAAAGAUCGUCGGUGUAAGACUGUGUGGCGUUCAGCCAGCAGCCAUGACAUUGCUCUCAUUCCUCCUGGCUGCCUUAUGUGUCACGCAAGCUGUCCCCGACCCACUUCAAAAUCUGACAACUGUGGACCAGUUGCUACAUAGUAAUAAUGCAGAGCUUGGAGUGGACACCACCUCCCAUCUCACACCCACCCAAAGCCCUGCACCUUCCUUUUCCACUGUUGUUAGCCAGACAUCGCCUAUGGCCAGCAAGGUAAAGCACCAGACUCAAGAAACCCAAACAGACUCGACAACGGGUGACGGACCUGGCUCAAAUGUGACCGCUGACAUUCCAACCCCUG
ensembl:lncRNA